CGAGGGGCAGCAUGAAGUUUGCUUGCAAACUUUGAUGGCGACCGGCGCACGGGUGAGUAACGCGUAUCCAACCUUCCCUAUAGUAGAGAAUAGCCCGGCGAAAGUCGGAUUAAUGCUCUAUGUUAUUCAAAGCGGACAUCUAAUUUGAAUCAAAGGUUCACCGCUAUAGGAUGGGGAUGCGUCUGAUUAGCUUGAUGGCGGGGUAACGGCCCACCAUGGCGACGAUCAGUAGGGGUUCUGAGAGGAAGGUCCCCCACAUUGGAACUGAGACACGGUCCAAACUCCUACGGGAGGCAGCAGUGAGGAAUAUUGGUCAAUGGGCGAGAGCCUGAACCAGCCAAGUAGCGUGCAGGAUGACGGCCCUAUGGGUUGUAAACUGCUUUUAUGCGGGGAUAAAGUCGGCUACGCGUAGCCGUUUGUAGGUACCGCAUGAAUAAGGACCGGCUAAUUCCGUGCCAGCAGCCGCGGUAAUACGGAAGGUCCGGGCGUUAUCCGGAUUUAUUGGGUUUAAAGGGAGCGCAGGCCGGAGGUCAAGCGUGACGUGAAAUGUAGGGGCUCAACCUUUGAAUUGCGUCGCGAACUGGUUUCCUUGAGUGAGUACGACGUCAGCGGAAUUCGUGGUGUAGCGGUAAAAUGCUUAGAUAUCUCGAAAAACCCCCGAUUGCGAAGGCAGCUGACGAGUCCUUUACUGACGCUAAAGCUCGAAGGUGCGGGUAUCGAACAGGAUUAGAUACCCUGGUAGUCCGCACGGUAAACGAUGGAUGCCCGCUGUUUGCGAUAUAUUGUAAGCGNGCCAAGCGAAAGNNCGUUAAGCAUUCCCCACCUGGGGAGUNNACGCCCGGCAACNNGGUNGAAACUCAAAGNNGAAUUGACGGGNNGGCCCGNCACAAGCGNGAGGAACAUGUGGUUUAAUUCGAUGAUACGCGAGGAACCUUACCCGGGCUUGAACUGCAGGAGAACGAUCCAGAGAUGGUGAGGCCCUUCGGGGCUCCUGUGGAGGUGCUGCAUGGUUGUCGUCAGCUCGUGCCGUGAGGUGUCGGCUUAAGUGCCAUAACGAGCGCAACCCCUUUCGCCAGUUGCCAUCAGGUGAUGCUGGGCAC
rnacentral:rRNA from 1 species